GGCUAGAUUCUUUCCAAUUAAAACACUCUGGAAUUUGAGAUUAGGCAGUCUCACAAAUGGUCUCAGGGCACGGAACUCUGUAAGAAACUAAAGGAUUUUUUCUUGAAAUCUGGAUGUGAAUUUGCACCUCCCACUCUUGGCUACACCUUCUCCACUAAUUUAGAGUUCCCAGGGGUUGUCAAAUAGCUACCCCACCUUUUUGCAUUAGAAUCUAUCCUUGUGGCUAUGGUGACACACAUAAUGUUUUUAAGUUGAAAAAUAAAAUUAAAAAAGGCCUGUACUCUAUUAAAUAUUUGCCAGAAAAAUCACAACUUUAAAGGAUGUUUUAAAGAAAAGAUUUGGAUGUGGGUAUGAAUAAUGAUAUUUAAUUUGUGAAUAAUAAACCAAAGGUCUUACUUUCUAAUUUUUUAGAAAAUAUUAAGGUUUUAUUAUGGAACUUAUGUGUUACAAAGGAUCUUAAAAUAAUCGUGUCAUUUAUUUAUCAAGUAAAUACCUUUUUACCCAUUUUCAUGUGACAUAAAAAUGAAUUGCCCUAACUAAAUGAAGACAGGAUUCUUAACUGGAUAACAGUAGUAGGAAUAAUUCAAUAGAAGAAAGGAAUUUUAGUAUGGACGCACUUAUAAAGCUAGGAAAAUCUUGUCUGUUGUCUGUAAAAUUUCUCAGUUAAAUUGGAGAAAACCCACUCAGCAACAGAAUGAACAUUUAGCGCUUCAAUCCCAGAUAAUGAAUUGGUUAAGGAAUUUGGUGGCAGAUUAUUAAAUAAUUUGCAUGCACUAGCAAAACACAGUGGCACUGUGGCAAAAAUCUACCUGACUUAAAAUUAAAUUUGAUGCAUUUGCUAACAAAGAGAUGUAAUUUGAAAGCAAGUCUAGAAAUUAGCAGGUUAACAUAUCUUUCUCGACAGUUUAGAUUCUCUUCUUUAUGGAUAGAUUCAUCAGUGUUUUUUUUUUUUUAAAAAAAAAAAAGAAACCCAAAACUUGGCCUCUCUCCAGCUUCUGCUCCAAUAACAGAUGAUUAAAUCAUGACAAUGUGUGAUAUUUACCAAUGGAAAGUAUAUACUUUCGAGUACAUCUGGGAAUUAUAUAAACAAAAAACAGUUAGUCAAUGUUGGUUCAGGAAGGCAUGUUUCAGAAUAAUGUUUGGUCUACACACUUGGGUUUUCUGGUUACCUAACUUUCCAUUCUUGUCUUCAUUUUUCAACAUCACAAAGAUUUUUAGUUUACUCUAGAGUAUUCAUCAUUGCCCAAUGUAUAAUUUCACGUUAAGCAUGACUCAGAAUGCCCUUGAUUUUUAACUUUCCACGGCCUUCAGUUACCUAAAGUUGACUUCUCUCCGACGUCUUUAUCAGCUAUCCUCAGGAAACCAUGAUACUGCAUUUCCGUGACUUCCCUCCGAAAAGUGAAGACAGCUUCUUCCUUAGAAAAACGAAGUCAGUCAAGCAUCAGAUCCUUCAAUUUUUCUUUCUUUCCUUAUCUGUAUUCAUUCAGCAGCUGAUGAAACUACCAUAUCCUCCAAAUUAUUUGGCAUUUUCUCUGCAGAACUGAAAGUCACUAUAUACCAGCUGAAAAAUUUUAAAAGCAGCAAUAAAAGUCCUGAGGUAAAUUCAAUGACUCAUAAGGUUUCUACUGCAUAAUUCUGAUUGAGGUCAGUUUUUUAGGUAACUGCUUUUGUUUGAGGGUCAAGAAGGAAUCCGUAGGAACUGAUGCUUUCAUUUGGGUGAAAUCUACCAUGAAUCGAAACUGCAGAUGUUAUCUACAUUUACUACAUGACAUAAACAAACAUCGACACCUGCCGAAGACAAAGGAUGAACGCUCUGUGGCUAAAGCGGACCAAGAGAGAAAGGUGUGGAGGACAGACUGUACUGAUUCCAGGAGCCCCAGGACUCGNNNNNNNNNNNNNNNNNNNNNNNNNNNNNGUGCUGGUGGAGGUGGAGGAAAGGUUAGAGUGAGCUGCAUCAUAACAAUAGUAUGGAGGCAGGAUGGCUGGCUGAGGAGAGAGGGGGAAGGAGAAAUUUAAUUGUGGGAAUAAGAAGUGGGAUGGGUUCUCAGAAUAUAAAUUAAUGGGUUCUAGACGAGAAAAUAACAGUCAGGGCUAUGGGAAUGGCUAAUGUACAAACUUUCAGUUAUGAUGAAAUAUGUUUCAUCCUAGAAAUGGUUUUAUUUUCUACAGUUUCUGACCAUCUGAAUAAAGGUUCUUCCAAUUCUAAAUUUCUCCAAAAGUUUAAGCAUAGUUAAUUCGGAAAAUAUAUACUUGGAGUUUGAAAAAAAAAAAAA
rnacentral:lncRNA from 1 species